rnacentral:tRNA from 1 species
AUUCUUAUAGUUUAUAUUAAAAUAUUACACUGAAAAUGUAAAGAAAUAUUUUUUUAAGAAUA